GCGGAGCCCCCUGACAUGUUCCGAUCACCAGCUCUGUCCUCAACUGAAAAGGCAAGCGCUCCCCGGCGCCCGCCUUAUAUACCCGCCCCGCCGCCGGACUCGUUGCGCUCCGCUCUGCGCAUGGAUAUACACCGCAUGCCACUGGCGAAAAAGCACGAAUCCCCCCGGAAUGAGCCCCCUUUCCCAAGGUUGUGCCCAGGAACAGCUGCCUGUGUUUUCCUGGGAUCCAUCAACACAAGCCAGCGUGGACAUGGACUAAUGCAUGGACAGGACAAGAUGCAGAAGGAAACAGCGAGAAGUGAGAACUGUGAAGGACUGCUGCCUCAGAGCUGCUGUUACCAUAGAGCUGCUAACGAGGGAAAAAACUGCAGCAUGGAUUUCUUGUGCUGUUGAAGCCAACUGGUCUGUUAUGGCUCCUGUGAUAAGUACAUCCAGUGGAAAGUGGAGAGGCAUCCACCAAGUUCAGACAGUGUUUCUAAUAAAUAUAUUUUUGCUCUUCACUUUUAAAACCAAUAUAAUUCUUUGGCCUAUCUCUGGAUUCUGCAGAGAAUUCUGAUUCUUUGUGGCUCAGUUUGAACUGAAACAGUAAGGUAAGUAAUUUAAUGCCUGAUCUUCAACCCACAGAUCAGCACUUUUCUUUUCAUGGCAGAAGAGAAAAGAAUCUCUGUCAAGUUUCAAAUCCCCGUUACUCCAUAUUAGUAGGAGUUACUUCUUUGGAGCUUAUGGUUGAGUCUUCACUGAGUAGCAGAUUGAAACCAGUGCAGGAACAGCAGUACUACCAGUAUUGCAGAAAGAUGCCUUACCCAAUUAGGAAAACCUUCCCUCUUUCCUUCUUGAAGCAGCCUCCCUCUUCUUUUAGAAUGCAGUAGAAACAGUUUAUUAUUAAUUACAUUUUACCAAAUGAACUUCACUUAAAGCUUAAUUAAAACUGUGGAAGCUGAAUUAUACUAAUGUAGUGUUGUAAACACAGCAGCAUUAGGAGUUGUGUGUGAGUAGCUGGUUAUAGAAUUGAAAAUAUCUACCCCCAUUAUUAUUUUUUAAGAAUAUUUGAGGAGUUUGUAGUUUGGAUUUGGUACAGCUCUGUCUACAUGACAAUGGCCACACAAUGAUGUCAUUUCUAAUUCUGUAGCCUCUUGUCCUCAGAGCUGAUAUUCCUAAAUUGGGAGCAAUUAUCUUGCUGGCUGAGAGACCUGAGAAAACAAGGAAGGAAAUGGGUUCUUACAUCUUAUCAAAUGCCAGUGUUCAUUGUUCACGCUCCCCAUGUUCUGAUGUCAGGUGUUUGCACAGCUCUCUCCCAUGGCUUACACUGUGUCAACAUAGCACAGGAGGAUGAUUGGAACUGCUGAGUGUGAUUGAAAGGUCAUGUCUGAAUUGUGGCAAAAAUCCAAUAGGCCAUCCAUAGUAAAGCUGAGGAAUUUUCAUGGUCAGUUAAAAUACAUAUUUUGUCCCACAGUCACAGGUGGAAUGAACAAGAGAGAGAGCACAUUAAAUUCAGACAGCUGCAGAAUGGCCAUCAUGCAGCUCUGGAUGUCAGGAGUAUCAUCAACAGAACUUUAAUUCAGAAAUGUUUUCAUACCCCAGAGUCGUAGUUCCUGCACUAUCUGCAUCACUAAGAAUGCAAUGUUUCUGGUGCAGGAGUAGCCUUUAUUUUUUAUGUUCAUGAAAUUACACUUAGAGCAUUAUUUAUACACCUUGCUCAUAAUAAGUAACUGGCAAACUUCGGAGCUCUGUUCCUAGAGCUUAAUAUUUAAAACAGAUGGCACAGAUGGGAUGUUCUUAUCUACAUUGUUACUCACCCAAACGAAACGCUGAGUGUUAAGCCUACUAAGCCUUUCCUGGCAAUCACAAAACUGACAUAAUUUGGUGAUCAUAAACCCCUGUGGCAAAAAAUGUGCCAUCUGCUGGCCAAGGAGGAGAGUACUCGUUAGCCACUGUGGUGGCUAACGCACAGAGUGCGCCAGCGUGAUUCCAGCAGUAGGAGAAGCUGGGAGCUUUGCAGAGCUCUCAGCAGCAGAGCUGAAAGAAGGCUGGUCGGUAGUUUUCUGACAGCAGAUUCUUCCCUCCGAA